CCUCCUAAAGAGUAACGGAGGAGCACGAAGGUUGGCUAAUCCUGGUCGGACAUCAGGAGGUUAGUGCAAUGGCAUAAGCCAGCUUGACUGCGAGCGUGACGGCGCGAGCAGGUGCGAAAGCAGGUCAUAGUGAUCCGGUGGUUCUGAAUGGAAGGGCCAUCGCUCAACGGAUAAAAGGUACUCCGGGGAUAACAGGCUGAUACCGCCCAAGAGUUCAUAUCGACGGCGGUGUUUGGCACCUCGAUGUCGGCUCAUCACAUCCUGGGGCUGAAGUAGGUCCCAAGGGUAUGGCUGUUCGCCAUUUAAAGUGGUACGCGAGCUGGGUUUAGAACGUCGUGAGACAGUUCGGUCCCUAUCUGCCGUGGGCGCUGGAGAACUGAGGGGGGCUGCUCCUAGUACGAGAGGACCGGAGUGGACGCAUCACUGGUGUUCGGGUUGUCAUGCCAAUGGCACUGCCCGGUAGCUAAAUGCGGAAGAGAUAAGUGCUGAAAGCAUCUAAGCACGAAACUUGCCCCGAGAUGAGUUCUCCCUGAGACUUAGAGUCUCCUGAAGGAACGUUGAAGACGACGACGUUGAUAGGCCGGGUGUGUAAGCGCAGCGAUGCGUUGAGCUAACCGGUACUAAUGAACCGUGAGGCUUAACCUUACAACGCCG
rnacentral:rRNA from 2 species